UACGUAGGGUGCAAGCGUUUGUCCGGAAUUAUUGGGCGUAAAGAGCUCGUAGGCGGUUUGUUGCGUCGGCUGUGAAAUCCCGAGGCUCAACCUCGGGUCUGCAGUCGAUACGAGCAAACUAGAGUGUUGCAGGGGAGACUGGAAUUCCUGGUGUAGCGGUGAAAUGCGUAGAUAUCGGGAGGAACACCAGUGGCGAAGGCGGCGAUCUGGGAAGAUACUGACGCUGAGGUGCGAAAGCGUGGGGAGCAAACAGG
rnacentral:rRNA from 1 species